rnacentral:rRNA from 1 species
GGCCACAGCCAUAUCACCCUGCAGCCCAAGACUGGUUGCCCACUGAAGCUAAGCAGGGCUGAGCCUGGUCAGUACCUGGAUGGGAGACCUCCUGGGAAAACUAGGUUGCUGUUGGAA